AGUGAACGCUGGCGGUAGGCCUAACACAUGCAAGUCGAACGGCAGCACAGGAGAGCUUGCUCUCUGGGUGGCGAGUGGCGGACGGGUGAGGAAUACAUCGGAAUCUACUCUGUCGUGGGGGAUAACGUAGGGAAACUUACGCUAAUACCGCAUACGACCUACGGGUGAAAGCAGGGGAUCUUCGGACCUUGCGCGAUUGAAUGAGCCGAUGUCGGAUUAGCUAGUUGGCGGGGUAAAGGCCCACCAAGGCGACGAUCCGUAGCUGGUCUGAGAGGAUGCUCAGCCACACUGGAACUGAGACACGGUCCAGACUCCUACGGGAGGCAGCAGUGGGGAAUAUUGGACAACGGGCGCAAGCCUGAUCCAGCCAUACCGCGUGGGUGAAGAAGGCCUUCGGGUUGUAAAGCCCUUUUGUUGGGAAAGAAAUCCAGCUGGCUAAUACCCGGUUGGGAUGACGGUACCCAAAGAAUAAGCACCGGCUAACUUCGUGCCAGCCGCCGCCGUAA
rnacentral:rRNA from 1 species